rnacentral:rRNA from 1 species
UUUUGGGAUAAAGUCUCAUGGUCGAGAGGGAAACAGCCCAGAGCAUCGACUAAGGCCCCUAAGCGUACGCUAAGUGGGAAAGGAUGUGGAGUCGCAGAGACAACCAGGAGGUUGGCUUAGAAGCAGCCACCCUUGAAAGAGUGCGUAAUAGCUCACUGGUCUAGUGAUUCCGCGCCGACAAUGUAGCGGGGCUCAAGCGUACCGCCGAAGUCGUGUCAUUGCAGCAAUACGCCCAACGGCGGCUGUGAUGGGUAGGGGAGCGUCGUGUGCCGGGUGAAGCCGCGCCGGAAGGCAGUGGUGGACGGUUCACGAGUGAGAAUGCAGGCAUGAGUAGCGAUACACACGUGAGAAACGUGUGCGCCGAUUGACUAAGGGUUCCUGGGUCAAGCUGAUCUGCCCAGGGUAAGUCGGGACCUAAGGCGAGGCCGACAGGCGUAGUCGAUGGAUAACCGGUUGAUAUUCCGGUACCCGCUGUGAAGCGUCAAACAUUGAACCAGGCGAUGCUAAGUCCGUGAAGCCGCCCCGGAGCCUUCGGGCAAAGGGGAGUGGUGGAGCCGACGGACCAGACCUGCAGUAGGUGAGUGAUGGGGUGACGCAGGAAGGUAGUCCAUCCCGGGCGGUGGUUGUCCCGGGGUAAGGGUGUAGGCCGUGUGAUAGGUAAAUCCGUCRCACAUUAAGGCUGAGACCUGAUGCCGAGCCGAUUGUGGUGAAGUGGAUGAUCCUAUGCUGUCGAGAAAAGCCUCUAGCGAGUUUCAUGGCGGCCCGUACCCUAAACCGACUCAGGUGGUCAGGUAGAGAAUACCGAGGCGUUCGGGUGAACUAUGGUUAAGGAACUCGGCAAAAUGCCCCCGUAACUUCGGGAGAAGGGGGGCCAUCACCGGUGAGAGGAUUUACUCCUUGAGCUGGGGGUGGCCGCAGAGACCAGCGAGAAGCGACUGUUUACUAAAAACACAGGUCCGUGCGAAGCCGUAAGGCGAUGUAUACGGACUGACGCCUGCCCGGUGCUGGAACGUUAAGGGGACCGGUUAGUCACUCUUCGGGGUGG